UAGAUGGCCCAGCAAAGACUUGUUUAACAAACAUUUGCAUUUCCAUCUCCAUGUAAAUUGUCGUCCUCCUCUCUGAAGUUCCAAACCACUGCCUCCAGCAUCCUCCUUUGUCUUAGCUGAAGAUGGUAUUUAAGGUGGCAGCUUCGGCCAUUCUGGACCCCGUGGAGGAAAGAAGUGGAGAGUCACCUGCUGAAGUGAGGAGCAAGGAACUGCUGUUUUCACCCCUGCGGGGAAGGCAACUGCUGAAAGGCGUAUACCACCGAAAAGAAUCAGUGAGCAAGAAAGAAGACAAGCGGGGGGUCAGGAAGGAGUGCCUUCAACACGAGGGGAGAGCUAUUCUGAGGACAAAGCUGAUGUCUUAAAUAGUUGGGAGGGAAGACGAAUUCUUGGUGAGAUCAUGGAGUUGCUGAAUUCAGCAAGCAUGGAACUGUCUACAUGUGGAUUUCUUGGUAUGUGAGAAAAUAAACUUUCUUGCUAUUUAAGACAGCCAAUUUAGGUGCUGGCUUCUGUAGGCAUCCUAAGUGUUAGAAGUAUAUACAGAUAAGUUGGAAAGAACUGGAACCUUAGUGAAAGCCAAACUGAGGAGCAAUUUGGGGAAAAUCAUGAGAGAGGAUGAAGUUUAGCAAGGUGAAUCCGACUGAGCCAGAA
rnacentral:lncRNA from 1 species